rnacentral:rRNA from 1 species
AGAGUGAACGCUGGCGGCAGGCCUAAUACAUGCAAGUCGAACGGCAGCACAGCAGAGCUUGCUCUGGUGGGUGGCGAGUGGCGGACGGGUGAGGAAUACGUGGGAAUCUGCCCAGUCGUGGGGAUAACGUAGGGAAACUUACGCUAAUACCGCAUGCGCCCUUCGGGGGAAAGCCGGGGACCUUCGGGCCUGGCGCGAUUGGAUGAGCCCACGUCGGAUUAGCUAGUUGGCGGGGUAAAGGCCCACCAAGGCGACGAUCCGUAGCUGGUCUGAGAGGAUGAUCAGCCACACUGGAACUGAGACACGGUCCAGACUCCUACGGGAGGCAGCAGUAGGGAAUAUUGGACAAUGGGCGCAAGCCUGAUCCAGCCAUGCCGCGUGAGUGAAGAAGGCCCUCGGGUUGUAAAGCUCUUUUGUCCGGAAAGAAAAGCGCCGGGUUAAUACCCUGGUGUCCUGACGGUACCGGAAGAAUAAGCACCGGCUAACUUCGUG